rnacentral:lncRNA from 1 species
AUGGGUGUGAAAACAGCAUCCUUUGGAGGAACUGGACUCAGAGAUGCCCCCAGGUGGAGGGCACAUGGUGGGCACAGCCGUUCCCAGGUGCAGGGCGCCCAGUGGGCACGGCCGUCCCAGGUGCAGGGCGCCCGGUGGGCAGAGCCGUCCCCAGGUGCAGGGUGCCCGGUGGGCAGAGCCGUCCCCAGGUGCAGGGCGCCCGGUGGGCACGGCCGUCCCAGGUGCAGGGAGCCCGGUGGGCAGAGCCGUCCCCAGGUGCAGGGCGCCCGGUGGGCACGGCCGUCCCAGGUGCAGGGCGCCCGGUGGGCAGAGCCGUCCCCAGGUGCAGGGCGCCUGGUGGGCAGAGCCGUCCCCAGGUGCAGGGCGCCCGGUGGGCACGGCUGUCCCAGGUGCAGGAAGCCCGGUGGGCAGAGCUGUCCCCAGGUGCAGGGCGCCCGGUGGGCACAGCCGUCCCAGGUGCUGGGCGCCCGGUGGGCAGAGCCGUCCCCAGGUGCAGGGCGCCCGGUGAGCAGAGCCGUCCCCAGGUGCAGGGCGCCCGGUGGGCAGAGCCGUCCCCAGGUGCAGGGCGCCCGGUGGGCAGAGCCGUCCCCAGGUGCAGGGCGCCCGGUGGGCAGAGCCGUCCCCAGGUGCAGGGCGCCCGGUGGGCACGGCCGUCCCCAGGUGCAGGGCGCCCGGUGGGCAGAGCCGUCCCCAGGUGCAGGGCGCCCGGUGGGCACGGCCGUCCCAGGUGCAGGGCGCCCGGUGGGCAGAGCCGUCCCCAGGUGCAGGGCGCCCGGUGGGCAGAGCCGUCCCCAGGUGCAGGGCGCCCGGUGGGCACGGCCGUCCCCAGGUGCAGGGCGCCCGGUGGGCAGAGCCGUCCCCAGGUGCAGGGCGCCCGGUGGGCAUGGCCGUCCCAGGUGCAGGGCGCCCGGUGGGCAGAGCCGUCCCCAGGUGCAGGGUGCCCGGUGGGCAGAGCCGUCCCCAGGUGCAGGGCGCCCGGUGGGCACGGCCGUCCCAGGUGCAGGGAGCCCGGUGGGCAGAGCCGUCCCCAGGUGCAGGGCGCCCGGUGGGCACGGCCGUCCCAGGUGCAGGGCGCCCGGUGGGCAGAGCCGUCCCCAGGUGCAGGGCGCCCGGUGGGCACGGCCGUCCCAGGUGCAGGGCGCCCGGUGGGCAGAGCCGUCCCCAGGUGCAGGGCGCCCGGUGGGCAGAGCCGUCCCCAGGUGCAGGGCGCCCGGUGGGCACGGCUGUCCCAGGUGCAGGGAGCCCGGUGGGCAGAGCCGUCCCCAGGUGCAGGGCGCCCGGUGGGCACAGCCGUCCCAGGUGCAGGGCGCCCGGUGGGCAGAGCGGUCCCCAGGUGCAGGGCGCCCGGUGGGCAGAGCCGUCCCCAGGUGCAGGGCGCCCGGUGGGCAGAGCCGUCCCCAGGUGCAGGGCGCCCGGUGGGCACGGCCGUCCCCAGGUGCAGGGCGCCCGGUGGGCAGAGCCGUCCCCAGGUGCAGGGCGCCCGGUGGGCAGAGCCGUCCCCAGGUGCAGGGCGCCCGGUGGGCAGAGCCGUCCCCAAGUGCAGGGCGCCCGGUGGGCACGGCCGUCCCCAGGUGCAGGGCGCCCGGUGGGCAGAGCCGUCCCCAGGUGCAGGGCGCCCGGGGCACCCGCACCAGGAGGGACACAGGAGUCCAGGGAACGGGGUGCAAAGUGGGAGCCCCCUGA